UGUUAAAGGUCAAUCACGUUUAAAAAUUGUUUUUAUUGCGUCAACGAUGAGGAUCCACUUAAUGUCAAGAAAUGAUUUAUAGACCCUUCUAGUCUUCAAGCAAGGGACGAUUCUGCUAUUAGAGGCCGAUUCUGAGAGGUUUGGAGUUGGAGUUACCAGUGAGGCACAGAGUUUUUUUAUGCUUUGUCUAAAACGCUUCCUGUGCACUGGGACUAGACUGUCAUUGUUUUAUUAAAUGAGGUGCGUGUGAGCAGUCCAUAUCUCCCCGAGCCUGUGAUGGAGGAACUCCUCCAGCCAAUGAACGGGUGAAGAAAGUGUUGGAUUUUGAAAGGAAGAAUGCAAAUUCGUGCUAUAGUCCAUGAUGAUCUCACAUUUGUGUUGUCCAAAGGUUGGAAAAACCAAAAAGGUGCUAUGAUUGGUAUAUCGUGGUAGUUAUCUGACCUCACAUUUUCUUAGUUUAUUGAAAGAAUUUAAACAAAUCGUGAUACUGAAUUGUUAAUUCUAAUAUCAUGCUACCUCUACCUUUUAGUUGGAAUUACUAAAUCUGAAGUCUAUAACCUUAAUUUGUGCCUCAUUAGCAUUUUCCAAUAAGGCAGCCACAUAUUGAAAUAUGACAAAGGAUAAGCUGUGGAAAAUUUGCCACACGCUGCUAUUGUUUUACUGUUAAGAAUAUUCGCCCUUGAAAUGGUUAAUUUCACAUUGUUCAAGCUUUCCGCGUUGUUGCUAAUUUCAACUCCAUACUGAUUGAUCAUUUUAUCUCUUUUUCUCCCCUUACACUUUGAGAAUGUUUUGGGUGGAGGUCUCCAAAAAUAUAAUUGAUUACUGUGUAUGAGAUCAGGAGGAAUAAUAUAUGAAUGAAUGCUAUAGGAAGGAAUAUGAUGGAAUUGGUAUGGCGAAAGGAGAUAAAAGUGAAUGGUAUAAGGAAUGAGAAUCAAAUGUUGCUGAUGGGGUAUCGCUUAUAAUUAGUGGUAGUAUUCUGCAAAUUUCUAUUGGCAUGCAGAGUUCUCCAUGUUAUGCCCAAGAGUUCAUGGUUUUUCGUCUUCUGGUUACAAAUUCAUUUGCUAUGAAUACUUAGUAAUGAAUAAGAAGCACCUCUUUCUUCUGGUAAUCCUGACUGCUGCUAAUACAUAUUUUGUAUUGGAGGAGCAUACACUGACGCAUCUUGGUUACCUGCAUACCAGCAAGGUCUAACCAUUAAAAAAAUAAUGAUAAUAUUUUCAGCAAGUUACAUCCUCGAACCCAAAGGCCACGCCUUUCCCCAAGAAUUUCUCUGCUUAAAGGAAAGCUAAUCGUAUGGGCAUCUUUGGCCCAAUGGACCAUCUCUCAACCAACAGCUAGACCUUCCGGAACCCUACAGAUUCUUGCGUUUUAACAACUCACAGUAUUUUCCCCCAACAGCUGUGUUAUUGGAUUAGGCGUAUUAAUGGUCAAUAUUUGAUGUUUUAGUAUUCCACUUGCCUCAUCUUCUCACCAACAUUAUUUGCAUAUAUAUAGCCAUAUUCUGGUAAGAACAAAACGUAUAGUAAUUGCAAUCAAAGCUUAAAAACUAGGAGUUCAAAUUCUAAGAUGCCUAGCACCCGUCUUUACCAGUAGGACGGGUCUUUUCUGACAGGCUAUUAAUAACACAAGUGGGAGAUGAGUGACAGAAAAUUGUACCCCGCAAUUCCCGGAACUGCUCAUCAGGCCAUCGACUGUGGAUGACCACAUG